AACCUUUUGUAUCCGUGCUGAGAUUUCGUCAUUAUUCAGUCCAUUAUGUCUAAUGCAACUCCCCAAAUAAGUGAAGUG
rnacentral:pre_miRNA from 1 species